UAUUUAUACAGGUAGAAAUACACUGUAUACAUUCGAUUACUGAUAUUUUGUAUUAAGCGUAUCUUAAGUACGCCAGCCGAGUGAAAAAGCAGCUUUUUAUAGCUGUUUUUUUUAUGUAUAA
rnacentral:sRNA from 12 species